AAAUGCAGUCUAAACACCCUGAAGGCACAAGAACAUGUCAGAUCUCAGGAGCAAAGUAAGGUCAGACCUGGCUAGUCUUUAGAUGGGAGACUGCCAGGGAAUAUGAGGUGCUGUAACUU
rnacentral:rRNA from 1 species